CGCCCGCGUCCAACGCCCAGGCUCAGCGGCCGCUCCGCCCGGGAGUCGAACCAGCGCCCCAGCGUGGACCCUGAGCGCCGUCGGAACGGCGUUAGCGCCCAGGGGGUCACAACCCAGCUUGCUGGAAGGAAACUUGGGGACAUCUGUAAGGAGAGGAAUAGGAAAGACCCGAGGAGAAGCAGUAAAGGAGGUAGAAGCAACUCGCGCUGUUUUGGAGGAGAGUUUCUAGAAGGGUGUGUUAAAUUCAGCAAAGUAUUGAGAAAGAUCAAGACCAAAAAUUGUAGUUAGAUUUAGGAAGGAGGAGGUAACGGAACUUCAAAAGCAAAAUUUCGGGGAGCUAGAAAGGGAAAAUGGAGUCAGGAGGAGCCUUGUCGAAAAACUGGAAGAUGUGAAGGCUCUUACCCUGAGAGAAAAAGGAAGCCAUUGGAGGAUUUUGAACAGAGAAGUGAUGUGAUCUAAGUUUUAAAAGAAUAGGUCUGACUGCUGCAUUGUGAAGAGACUGUAUGUGGGGCAAGAGAGGAAGCCAGGAGACCAUAGGAGGUGAGAAAAAGGGCGUUGCGGAUCCUUUGGAGCCAAGGACUGGAACUGCCAUGCAAGACCUCUGCCAACUGAGGGUUUCAUGAGCACACUCCCUUGCCAAGAUCUUGCCUCCAACUCUGAAGUGGAAAGAGAAGUGGCCUGUUCAGGAGAGCAAGACACGACUGAGGAGCCUGGCUUUGGAUGAAGAACCACAACUAUGAGAACCAUGUGGAAAGGAUAUAAGUAUCCCCCAGGAGGGACCCCGGUGGAAAUAAGCAAAGAUGAUCCUGGUGAAGUCAUGCAGCUCUGAAGCUCACCUGGCCUGCUGUAGAGUUCCUGUUGUUGGUUUCGCAUAAAGUAAUUGCACAUUA